AUUGAACGCUGGCGGCAGGCCUAACACAUGCAAGUCGAGCGGAUGAAGGGAGCUUGCUCCUGGAUUCAGCGGCGGACGGGUGUGUAAUGCCUAGGAAUCUGCCUGGUAGUGGGGGAUAACGUCCGGAAACGGGCGCUAAUACCGCAUACGUCCUGAGGGAGAAAGUGGGGGAUCUUCGGACCUCACGCUAUCAGAUGAGCCUAGGUCGGAUUAGCUAGUUGGUGGGGUAAAGGCCUACCAAGGCGACGAUCCGUAACUGGUCUGAGAGGAUGAUCAGUCACACUGGAACGGAGACACGGUCCAGACUCCUACGGGAGGCAGCAGUGGGGAAUAUUGGACAAUGGGCGAAAGCCUGAUCCAGCCAUGCCGCGUGUGUGAAGAAGGUCUUCGGAUUGUAAAGCACUUUAAGUUGGGAGGAAGGGCAGUAAGUUAAUACCUUGCUGUUUUGACGUUACCAACAGAAUAAGCACCGGCUAACUUCGUG
rnacentral:rRNA from 1 species